GAUGAACGCUGGCGGCGUGCCUAAUACAUGCAAGUCGAGCGAACAGACGCGGAGCUUGCUCCUUUCUCGUUAGCCGCGGACGGGUGAGUAACACGUGGAUAACCUACUUAUCAUACUGGUAUCACUUCGGGAAACCGGAGCUAAUACCGGAUAAUAUCUUGAACCGCAUGGUUCAAUAGAGAAAGACGGCUUUGCUGUAUCUUCUCGCUGGUUCCGGGCCGCAUUGGCUGGUUGGUACGGUAACGGCUUACCAAGGCUACCAUGCGUGGCCGACCGGAGGGGGGGGUCGGCCACACGGGAACUGAGACGCGGACCAGACGCCUACGAGAGGGAGCAGAAGGGAACCUUCCGCAAUAGGCGAAAGCCUUGCGGAACAACGCCGCGUGAGUGAUGAAGAUCUUGGGUUCGGAAAACUCUGUUAUGGGGGAAGAACAGAUGUGUAAGGAACUAUGCACGGCUUGACGGUAACUAGUCAGAAAGCCACGGCUAACUACGUG
rnacentral:rRNA from 1 species